rnacentral:rRNA from 1 species
GACGAACGCUGGCGGCGUGCUUAACACAUGCAAGUCGAACGGAAAGGCCCUUCUUUUUUGGGGUGCUCGAGUGGCGAACGGGUGAGUAACACGUGAUUAACCUGCCCUUGACUUUGGGAUAACUUCAGGAAACUGGGGCUAAUACUGGAUAGGAGCUCCUUCUGCAUGGUGGGGGUUGGAAAGUUUCGGCGGUUGGGGAUGGACUCUCGGCUUAUCAGCUUGUUGGUGGGGUAGUGGCUUACCAAGGCUUUGACGGGUAGCCGGCCUGAGAGGGUGACCGGCCACAUUGGGACUGAGAUACGGCCCAGACUCCUGCGGGAGGCAGAAGUGGGGAAUAUUGAACAAUGGGCGGAAGCCUGAUGCAGCAACGCAGCGUGCGGGAUGACGGCCUUCGGGUUGUAAACCGCUUUCGCCUGUGACGAAGCGUGAGUGACGGUAAUGGGUAAAGAAGCACCGGCUAACUACGUG